AUAGGCGUGCAUUUUAAUGCUUUUAUUCAAAAUAUUGUCGUAAACAUAGCCCAUAAAAAAUUAUCAGUGGUUGCUAGCAGUCUUGACAAUUUUUUUUUCUUCGCAGUUGAUAUAUGAUGUGCAUGCGAUAAUCUGUUUUCUAACUGUCAUGUCCGCAUUUUUACGAAAAUUUGUUUACGCGGAUAUUGCAGCUUAUUGUAACAAUAGCCCAUAAAAAAUUAUCAGUGGUUGUUAGCAGUCUUGGCAAUUUUUUUUGUAACUGUCAUGUUCGCGUUUUUACGAAAAUUUAUUUGCAUGGAUAAUGCGACUUAUUUUCGUUCUUGGUGAAAUUUGAAAGAAAUGUUUUGCUAUUAGUAACUAUAAAUACGCUGCGUAUAAUUAUUCGGUUGAUUUCUUGGUUCAAAGUAUAUAUUCGAGUUGAUUCAUUCGCCUGCGUUUUACUUCAAAAUGUCAAGAGAAAAAUCCGUACUUUUGUUGGUGCUAAGUAUCGAGAUGGCAUAAAUGUAUUUCUUACGAGCGAAUGUUUUGUGCAAGCGCUCUCUUCCGAAAUCAUAGGACCUAUAAACGAGAUCGUCGACAACGUAUGCAGAAUAGCUUUUGACCCCAGGGUAGACCUCUCGCAAAUUAUUGUUAACUUUGCGAAAACGUGUCGGAAUAGAUUUCCAGAAUGUAAACGUUCAAAAAGAUCUGAAAAGCCACGGCCUGAGUAUUGUGAAAGGAUUUACCAAACGGCACGACAGUCAAAUCGUAAUACGUAAUUAUAAAUCAGAGUCCGGCGAAGAUGACGGACACAGAUCUCGAACUAAUACUGAGUGAUCCGAAAAAUCGGAUCGUUUAAAAUUUUUAUCACCAUUAGAGUCUUUGAAUACAAAUAUGAAAAAUUGAAAAUAGUAGUAGGUAUUCUCUUCCAUUUUGCAACAAGUAAUAUCCCACAUUGCAUCAGUGAUUAUUUUAACUUGAAGCUCCGCACAUUUUGUGUAGUUCCAAAAAUUUGUUGUGCAGUACCAACAUAUUUGUGUAGUACCAAAAAUAGAUAUUUACUGAUUUACUUGGGAGUUUUUCAAUGAAAAAAAAAAUUGAAAAAAGAGCUAAUAUUGUGCUUGAAAAAUGUUUUUGUUCAAACUGUUAAAAAUACCUACGUAUCAGUGGGGGAAAAACUGACUUUUCACAUCAAAAUUAUUGCUGUUUUGCUUAUUGAAACAGCGAAUUUCAAAAGGCUUUUGCUCUCGAUUCGCUCGGGUCAAUUUAAUUUUCUUCACUCUUCAAGUUUCAAGAAAUUAUCGAUGAAAUUUUUCAACAGUUGAGAUCAGAAAAACUGAAUUCUUACAUUAAAAUUGAUAUUGUUCUACUUUUCGAACUACAAAAUUUUCAAAAUUUUCGCCCUCGCUUCGCUUGGGCCAAUUUUGUUAUUUUAUACGCAAUCCCCAUUUUAAAAAAACCUAUGAUUGAAUUUGAAAAAUGUUGAAAUCAGAAAAACAGAAUAGAUAGUUUUCGACUAACUUUGUCUGGCUGUUGAGGGGGGGGGGGUGGUAAGAAAAUCAGGGAGAGUUGGAAAAAUAAGGGGGGAAUCUUGAUACAGAAAAUUAUCCUGGUUGUGUUUGUGUAGCUCCAAAAAAUUCUUAAAAUAAUCCCUGCAUUGCAUGUUGAUCGGUGUACGUACUUACGACGAAUUUUUCAUUUUGAUAGGUAAGGUAUUUCAAUUUUAUCAAUUUAAUCUAAAUUUGAAAUAACAUUGAAUAAAAUAAUUUUCAUUUGAAA